CAGACAGAAGGAGCCUUUGUCAUCUGGACUUCGUACCAAUGACACAGGCAGUGGAAGUCAGCAUCCCAAGCAUCCAUGAAACCCCUGCACAGGACUGGAAGAAAAGCUUGAUGUCUGUGCCAAGGGAGACGUACACCGCACUUGCGCUGCCUGGACGAUGUGGAAACUGGAAAUUGUGGGGUGUGCUGAAGCAUGCCCUCUCAGCUUUCGCUCGUGGAAGCACAGAGCAAAGUGACAAGAAACAGCUGCGAGUUCAAGGAAUUGUCUACCUUGUUCUGAUCUCCUGCCAGGUACGUGCCACGCUUUGUCCCCCCACGUGGUUGACCAGCACUGUGUCGCACCAUGUUUGGUAACACAGCCUCACCCAGCUUUGAUGGGACACUGGUCCCGUGUGGGUUUUUUCCCUUCCCCUGCAGCUCCGCCCUCAGGAGGAUGCUGUGUGUGGUGCUGUGACCAGCUGGUCUGAAGGAAAGCAAUCCCUUAGGCAAAG